rnacentral:rRNA from 1 species
AAGCAGGGGAUCGCAAGACCUUGCGCUCUUGGAGUGGCCGAUGCCUGAUUAGCUAGUUGGUGGGGUAAGGGCCUACCAAGGCGACGAUCAGUAGUUGGUCUGAGAGGACGACCAGCCACACUGGGACUGAGACACGGCCCAGACUCCUACGGGAGGCAGCAGUGGGGAAUUUUGGACAAUGGGCGAAAGCCUGAUCCAGCAAUGCCGCGUGAGUGAAGAAGGCCUUCGGGUUGUAAAGCUCUUUCAGUCGAGAAGAAAAGGUCGCGACUAAUAAUCGCGACUCAUGACGGUAUCGACAGAAGAAGCACCGGCUAACUACGUGCCAGCAGCCGCGGUAAUACGUAGGGUGCGAGCGUUAAUCGGAAUUAUUGGGCGUAAAGGGUGCGCAGGCGGCUUUGUAAGUCAGAUGUGAAAUCCCCGGGCUUAACCUGGGAAUUGCGUUUGAAACUACAAAGCUUAG